rnacentral:pre_miRNA from 1 species
GCAUGACGCCGACAUCGAGCAUGACGCCGACAUCGAGCAUGACGCCGACAUCGAGCGGCGUCAUGCUCGAUGACGGCGUCAUGCUCGAUGUCGGCG